UGGGGAAUAUUGCGCAAUGGGCGAAAGCCUGACGCAGCAAUGCCGCGUGGGUGAUGAAGGCCUUUGGGUCGUAAAGCCCUGUCGGAGGGAAAGAACAAGUCGGGUAGGAAAUGACUCGACUCUGACGGUACCCUCGAAGGAAGCACCGGCUAACUCCGUGCCAGCAGCCGCGGUAAUACGGGGGGUGCAAGCGUUGUUCGGAAUCACUGGGCGUAAAGCGCGUGUAGGCGGAUUGUUAAGUCAGAUGUGAAAGCCCGCGGCUUAACCGCGGAAGUGCAUUUGAAACUGGCAGUCUAGAGUAUGGAAGAGGGAAGGGGAAUUCCCGGUGUAGAGGUGAAAUUCGUAGAUAUCGGGAGGAAUACCGGUGGCGAAGGCGCCUUCCUGGGCCAAUACUGACGCUGAGACGCGAAAGCGUGGGGAGCAAACA
rnacentral:rRNA from 1 species